rnacentral:rRNA from 1 species
UGAUCAUGGCUCAGGACGAACGCUGGCGGCGUGCCUAAUACAUGCAAGUCGAGCGGACCAUCAGGAGUGCUUGCACUCCUGACGGUCAGCGGCGGACGGGUGAGUAACACGUAGGUAACCUGCCCGUAAGGCCGGGAUAACAUCCGGAAACGGAUGCUAAUACCGGAUACGCAAUUCCUUCGCAUGGGGGGAUUGGGAAAGGCGGUUCCGAUUGAAUUCGGGCUGCCGCUUACGGAUGGACCUGCGGCGCAUUAGCUGGUUGGUGAGGUAACGGCUCACCAAGGCGACGAUGCGUAGCCGACCUGAGAGGGUGAUCGGCCACACUGGGAUUGAGACACGGCCCAGACUCCUACGGGAGGCAGCAGUAGGGAAUCUUCCGCAAUGGACGAAAGUCUGACGGAGCAACGCCGCGUGAGUGAGGAAGGCCUUCGGGUCGUAAAGCUCUGUUGCCAGGGAAGAACGUGCGAGGGAGUCACUGCCCGCGUAAUGACGGUACCUGAGAAGAAAGCCCCGGCUAACUACGUGCCAGCAGCCGCGGUAAUACGUAGGGGGCAAGCGUUGUCCGGAAUUAUUGGGCGUAAAGCGCGCGCAGGCGGCUUUGUAAGUCUUGUGUUUAAACGCGGGGCUCAACCCCGUGUCGCAUGGGAAACUGCAAGGCUUGAGUGCAGAAGAGGAAAGUGGAAUUCCACGUGUAGCGGUGAAAUGCGUAGAGAUGUGGAGGAACACCAGUGGCGAAGGCGACUUUCUGGGCUGUAACUGACGCUGAGGCGCGAA